rnacentral:lncRNA from 1 species
GGGGGGGGGGGGGACGACCGCGCCGUCGGCCCCGCAACGGCGCCGCAACGGCGCCCAUCGGCGCAGCGCCGCCCCCUCCGGAACCGCUCCCGAAAUCGCGGCGUUCGGCCCCGAAACGGAGCGGCGGUGCGGGCCGGAAAAGUCCGCGGCGGAGGAGGGCGGACCCGAAGGACGGCGGGCGGACCCGGAAUGGGGCGCUGCUGCGGGCCGCGACGCCGCCGUUCCCCGCCGAAACUCCGCGCCUUUAUCGGGCGGCCCGAAAGACGGCGGUGCCGAACCCCAAUCGCGCCGUUCCGCACCCGAACCGGGCCGUUCUGCGGCCCCAAAUCCCGGACUGCGAACCCGAAGUGCUGCGGCUCCGUCGGGUGUCGCAAAGUUCGGAGGUUCGGACCCGAAAUCGCGGGGUUUGGACCCAAAAUGUGGCGGUUCCGUGGCCCCAAAUUGUGGUGUUUGGACCUAAAACUCCGCGUCUUUAUCGGCUGUCCAAAGUUCUGAGGUUCGGUCCAAAAUCGCGGGGUUUGGACCCAAACCGGGCCGUUCUGCGGCCCCAAAUCCCGGAGUACGAACCCGAAGUGCUGCGGCUCCGUCGGGUGUCCCAAAGUUCGGAGGUUCGGACCCGAAAUGUGGCGGUUCUGUGGCCCCAAAUUGUGGUGUUUGGACCCGAAGUGCUGCGUUUCUGUCGGGUGUCACAAAGUUCGGAGGUUCGGACCCGAAAUGUGGCGGUUCUGUGGCCCCAAAUUGUGGUGUUUGGACCCAAUACUCCGCGUCUUUAUCAGCUGUCCCAAAGUUCUGAGGUUCGGACUCGAAAUGUGGCGGUUCCGUGGCCCCAAAUCCCGGUGUUUGGACCCCAAAGUGCUGCGGCUCCGUCGGGUGUCCCACAGUUCUGAGGUUCGGACCCAAAAUCGCGGGGUUUGGCCCCAAAAUGUUGUGGUUCUGCGGCCCCAAAUCCCGGAGUGGGAACCCAAAACUCUGCGUCUUUA